rnacentral:lncRNA from 1 species
GUGGGGACCCCGACUCUCAGGGUUGGAGGCCUGCAUUUCUGGAUCCCUAUAAACAUGGGCUGAGAGCCCCCCCAAGAGCAUCUCUAAGACCGGAGUGGGCAGGGACCCGGGCCUCUGAGGGGCUCAGGCUCCAGGCCGGAAACUGCACGCGGUGCUGGCGUCAGGCCCGAGGCCCAGCUACGCCUCCCACGGCCUCCCUAAUCGCCAUUCGGGGCUUGCGGGAGCACCUGGGAGGCUCCACCCGGAGCCAGACACUGCCUGCCCCCACGCCCCUCCAGGACCCUCGAAGGAGAAGGAAAUCGGGACUGGCCCAGCGUCCCGUGCUCUAGAAGGCGGGCUACUGCCCCGUCCCAAGCAGGGGAGGAGGACGAGCGAGGGCGUCACUCAUUCUGUCCCCCGCGGAAGGAUGAGGAAGCUCUGUUUACCUAAAUGAAAAGCUUUCUAGGAGGAAGUCCUAAGUGAACAAUGAUGCAUGAGGAUGCAAUCUUACAGGCAAGGAGCCCAGUGAUAACAAAUGGCUGUAGAUGCUUUUCCUCCAUCAAGCUUCCAGGAGGAGAUGAGAUGGAGCCCAUCGCUGAGCCAAGGUCACCAGCCCCAUUUCACAAAUGUAAAUAGCAGGUGUCCCCCACACAGUCUGAACACUUGGAGGCCAAGAUUCAUUUCUCUCAGGGCCCACCAUCCUCAAGCAUGGGAUUGAUUUAGUGCCUCUUGCUGGGAAGCAAAGUUCUGGGAGCCAUAGUGGGAUCCUCCCUCCCUCCCUGCAGGAGACUGGGGCCCUUCCAAGCAGCAACUGAGACCAGUCAACAACCUCUGCCUUAGGCCAGGCGCGGUGGCUCACGCCUGUAAUCCCAACACUUUGGGAGGCUGAGGCGGGCAGAUCAUCUGAGGUCAGGAGUUCAAAACCAUCCUGGCCAACAUGGUGAAACCCCGUCUCUACUAAAAAUACAAAAAUUAGCUGGGCGUGGUGGUGCGUGCCUGUUGUCCUAGCUACUCCGGAGGCCAAGGCAGGAGAAUUCCUUGAACCUGGGAGACAGAGGUUGCAGGUCUGAGAUUGCACCACAGCAUCCAGCCUGGGCGACAGAGUGAGACCCUGUCUCAAAAAGAAACAAAUUAAAAAACAAAAAACAAAAAACAACCUCUGCCUGCCCUUGGGGCCUAGCAUGAGCCCCUGCACACAGGAGGCUUCUAUAAAAAUAGCUCAUUUCGGGUAAUCUAGGGCAGAACCCAGGCUUUUACCACUUGUGGUUUCUCUUUCUAAAUGUGUAGUUAAAAGCUGUAGGCCAGACCUGGUGCAUGGUGGCUCAUGCCUGGAAUCCCAACACUUUGGGAGGCUGAGGUGGGAGAAUCACUUGAGGUCAGGAAUUUGAGAUCAGCUUGGCCAAUAUAGCAAGACCCUGACUCUUUAAAAAAAAAAUUUUUUUUUUAAUUAGCCAGGCAAGGUGGUUGUGCCUAUAGUUCCAGCUACUCAGGAGGCUGAGGCAGGAGGCUCACUUGAGCCCAGGAGUGCGAGGCU